rnacentral:rRNA from 1 species
AGCGCAGGCGGUUUCUUAAGUCUGAUGUGAAAGCCUUCGGCUUAACCGGAGAAGAGCAUCGGAAACUGGGAGACUUGAGUGCAGAAAAGGACAGUGGAACUCCGUGUGUAGCGGUGAAAUGCGUAGAUAUAUGGAAGAACACCAGUGGCGAAGGCGGCUGUCUGGUCUGUAACUGACGCUGAGGCUCGAAAGCAUGGGUAGCGAACA